CAGUAGCCGCGGGAAUACAGAGGAUGCAAGCGUUAUCCGGAAUGAUUGGGCGUAAAGGGUGCGUAGGCGGUUUGACAAGUCUGAUGUGAAAUCUAUGGGCUCAACCCAUAGUCUGCAUUAGAAACUGUCGGGCUUGAGUAUGGGAGAGGUGAGUGGAAUUUCCGGUGUAGCGGUGAAAUGCGUAGAGAUGUGGAGGAACACCAGUGGCGAAGGCGACUCUCUGGUCUGUAACUGACGCUGAGGAGCGAAAGCGUGGGGAGCGAACAGGAUUAGAGACCCCAGUAGUCCCUGUCUCUUAUAC
rnacentral:rRNA from 1 species